UGGGGAAUUUUGGACAAUGGGGGCAACCCUGAUCCAGCAAUGCCGCGUGUGUGAAGAAGGCCUUCGGGUUGUAAAGCACUUUUGUCCGGAAAGAAAACCUCCGUCCUAAUACGGUGGGGGGAUGACGGUACCGGAAGAAUAAGCACCGGCUAACUACGUGCCAGCAGCCGCGGUAAUACGUAGGGUGCAAGCGUUAAUCGGAAUUACUGGGCGUAAAGCGUGCGCAGGCGGUUCGCUAAGACCGAUGUGAAAUCCCCGGGCUUAACCUGGGAACUGCAUUGGUGACUGGCGGGCUAGAGUAUGGCAGAGGGGGGUAGAAUUCCACGUGUAGCAGUGAAAUGCGUAGAGAUGUGGAGGAAUACCGAUGGCGAAGGCAGCCCCCUGGGCCAAUACUGACGCUCAUGCACGAAAGCGUGGGGAGCAAACAGGAUUAGAUACCCCCGUAGUCC
rnacentral:rRNA from 1 species